GUCAUCAUAGCAAUGCCAGGCCCUCCCGAGCUCCCCAGGCCGACCCAGGACUUGAACGUGAAGGGAGAGCAGUGUGUCAUCCCGAACAAUCAGAGAGGAUGAGCAGUGACCUUGAGCAAGCUCACCCUGAAUUUGGCUCAGCUCAGAAGCCAAAGGCACAGCAGGCGUCCUCAGGUGCUGGAUCCUGCAAGAGCUGCCUGAGUGCCCUGGUCCCUGGCCCUCCUCCAGGGUCCCCUUGGCCUCCAUGCCACACACGGGCAUGGCACGUGGCCUCCUCCUGCCGUCCUCACCCCUGCAGAGGGCCAGCCGGCCAGGUGACGUGUUGCGAGACUCCGAGGUCUCUGCUGGUGAGGCAACUGAGGCCAGAGAACUUGAGUGACCCCGCAUCUGUGGGAUCCUGGAACUGAGAGCCACCGUGGUACGUUGCUUGCCCAAGGCAGACAAUCAGGGUGUGUUGAAUGAAUGAGUGACCUCAUUGACAAGGACACCUUACUACCCCACGAAGCAGUCUGCUCUACGGCGGGAUGCUUCCAGUUCCUGCAAAAUUCUCUCUUUCACUGAGUAAACAUUGCCUGCCCUUUAUCAUACCUCCUUCCCCCUGGCCGUGGUUCUGCCCCGUAGCCAUCUCCUGAUGCCGAGGGGCUUGGGUCACCACGGCUACCUCCAUUCCCAGGAUCCGGAGGGGCCCUCCCUCCCCACUCACAUCCUCAGGCCCAAGCCCAGCCCUGCCCAGGGACCACAGGGCUGAGUCUGGGCCGUGACCACCUCCCCCUCGGUACAGAGAGAGCCAGAUCCCCCUCCCUAGAGAGCAGGUGCUAAGGCCUCUACAGGGAUAUGAAGCCCCUGUCACAGUGAUGUGGGAGCCACGGGUACUGGCUUUGUAACCCCCGCCCACCACCGGGUCAGGUUACGGCAGGAGCAGGACGCAGGUGGGAGCUGGCGGACGGGAGGGGGUGCACACGGGGAGACGUUCAUUCCAGCAAUCUGAGCAAUGCCACGCUUGGUUAGCUCUGCAAGUGACAUUGCUUCGGAGCUGACCAGCUGUGGCCCCAAGGCUGACCUGACUAGACGGCUGUGAGACCCAGUCUCAGGCUAUGAAGCCUCCACAGCACUUGUGGGGCAGGUGGGCAGGGGGUGGAAGAGACUUCAGGGCAUGAGCCUCCCCACCCCCCACCCUGCAUGGCAGUGCAACCAGCCUGUCGUGAAGUCCGGCAGGGGAGCACACCUGAGUCGCCUGCUGGCCCCUCCAGACACGAUGGGAAGUCUACCUGUCUGCAGGAAUCAUCCUGCCCCAGUCACGUGACCACAGCAGGGGUCCCAGGACAGGGGCCCCUUCUGUCUGCCCUUGAAGGGUCAGGCCCCUGGGACAGGCUGGGACUGCUCCCUCCUGCCUCUGGGGCUGAGACCUUCAACGAUCCAGACCCAGGACCUCCGGCCGCGUGCUGGUUGGCCAAGGGAGCUCCCCCUGACCCCGGGAGCGAUGAGAGACAUUGGUUCCAACAACACCUUCAAGUCAGUGUGACAGUUUCGAGCCUGGGGUGGGGGCCAGGGUGAGCCGAGCUCGAAUCCCAACCUGCAGGUCACUUCACUGCCCCGGCCUCAACUUGGUUUUUGUAAACCGUGGAUGAGUGAUGCUUUUCUCGCCGAGCACAGGAGUCCUUCGAGCCAAUCUCAAGAGCUUCCGUACCCUGUGACUCUAUUUAUUGGGCUUUCUUGAAAUAACACAAUGAAAGAAAUGGAGAGCAGAUUGGUGGUUGCCAGGGGUCAGGGAAGAGGAGGCAGGGGAAGGUGAGGAUAUCUGUGAAAGGACAAGAAAAGAGACCCUCGUGGAAAGAAUGGAAAACAAGGGGGCGCCUGGGUGGCUUAGUCCAUUUA